UUUUGUGGAUGAGCAAAGAAAGUGGUUUCUUUAGAUGGAAAUUACUCUUGAUGAAGAUGCUGUGAA
rnacentral:pre_miRNA from 1 species